GUUGUGUAUUGGAGAUUAUAGAUCAUAGAGGUAGAAUCGCUUUAGGAAAGCCAGCAAGCCUCUGGGUAGCUUUGGGUUUUGUGUGUGUGUGUGUGUGUGUGUGUGUGUGUGUGUGUGUGUGUGUGUGUUAGUCAAAACACAGAUUCCAAAGGGGGUUAGGGAAGGGAGAUCUGGGCUCAGUUCAAGGCCACCAAGCCAUUGUUGGAAAGAGACAGCUAAUUAAGAAAGGGCAUGCUGUGGUGGAAACGAUUUAUUUAAAUCAAAUCCAUUCCCCCAUCUUUCCUAGGGAUAGUGUCUGGACUUUGUGUAAAUUGUGAGUAUCACUGCCUCAUAAAGGGUGGCUUCUAAAUGAUAUGCUUUGUUAAACAAAAGGUGAUGAAUUAUUUCCUUUUCCCUGUGCCCUGGGCUUCACGUUUAAAGAGUAAGGGCGUGUGGGGAGGAUAAAAUGCCUGAUUUAUGCGGAGGAGGGCACUCCAGGCCUUGGGGAAACAGAGUUGGAGGGAAAGGGACCUGAGCUGGGGCCCACGGCGCAGGAGCUGUCCGGGCCUUUGGUGCUGAACGCAGGUCUGCCAGCCAGGGGUCCAGAGCUCCCCGCGGAGAAAUGGCACCGCCGCCUGUCCCCCAGCUCCCAGUCUAGAUGGGCCAAAUUGGGCGGGCACUGCAGUUGCUUUUUUUCCACGUGAGGAGGGAGUUUCUGGGAACCAGAGUUAGACCCUCCUGAGAAAGCGACGUCAAGCGAUCCAACAAUGCCACCCCCUGCACACACACAACUCUCAGCCUCCUGGUGGUCUGACCAAAUUCUCGCAGCUCUUGCGGUUAGCCUUGGAUGACUUAGGUACCCCACUCCUCCCUCCAGCCCAACCCCCUCGCAACUUUUCCUGGGGGACCUGGUGGUUCCCAGAGAGGAGGGGGAGUGAGGCUCCAGGUCCGCCGAGGAGGAGCUGCGGGCCUCCAUCAAAGUUGAACCUUUCUUCCCACCCAGUAAGCACGUGGACGGCCCCCUUCUUCCUGUCCUCGCCCCGAGACAGCGGUAUCUGGCACCCAGCCCCGGGCGCGGUGGCGGAGAGCUCCGGGAAUCGGGUUUGGAGGCGACCCCGCUCCAAGAAUCAACCCUGCGGCUGCAAAAGCGAGCGGGCCACACAGCCGGGGAGGACGGAGAGGGAGCCCGCAGCCGAAGCGGCGGAGCGCCCGAGUCCUCCAGACCCAUCCCCGC
rnacentral:lncRNA from 1 species